UUUAAAACAAGGCUCCGUGCGUAAAUAGGUUAUAUAUAAAUUACUUUAUUCAAAAUAAUAUCAUCAAAUAUACAUGGUAAUAUCAUAGGCUGACUGACCGUUUUCGCUGAGAAUCGUUUUUCUAAUAUAAUGAUAUUAUAUCAUUGAAUUCAAAUUUAACACCAUCCAUUACAGUGACCCUCUUGUAACCUACUGAACAGCAGAGCGACAUCCACUUACCCACCUUUUUUAUUUUGCAUAAUAUGUUGAGAUUUUUUGUGAUUAUUUGGAUGCCCAUAUUUUACAUCCUAUAUAUCUUUCCAUAUAUUUUAGUUAUUCGUAACAAUGUAUUCAUUACAGUUUAAUGUCAGUAUCAGAAAAUGUAUUUAAAUAAUGUUUAAUACUUAGGUACUCUGUUUAAAUGGGUGUGGUGACGGUAUAUGUAAAUUGCAGUUAUACACAGUAAUUUUAAAAACAUUGGCGUGGCCAAAUUUUAUUUUAUUGCUACUGUUAGUAAUAAUUCAUACUGUUUGCAUUAGAAACUCUGAAACUGAUUACUUCUAAUUAUUUAUUUGGCUUAAUUCAGUUUGAAGGUAGGAUUAACAAACAUCUUUUGAUUCUUGGACUUAGUCCGAGUACUGGACGUAACUGUAAUAUACUAGAAAAUAAAAUAAACAUUAAUUUAAUUUAAAUCUUAUUUUAUGAACAUUUUUAAUAUAAUGUAUUUAGUGUUAUUAAAUAAACUUGAGUAUAUCCUAUUAGUUGAAUAUGCUACUUUCAACUAGGAAGUAAGAAUCAUAAACACAAAAUUGUUUCUACAGAAUCAAAAAAUACUAUUAUUAUUAAUCAUAUUUUAGGAUUCUUAUUUUAAAUGCAUAGGUAUGUAAUGAUAUUUUAAAACAUAAAUGCACACUUUCUUAAUAAAUGUACAGCAAUUUUAAGAACAUGAUUAGAAUAGGUUAAGUUAGAAACUUAGGUUACAAACUUAAGCUGUAACAACUUACAUUUUUAAUUUAUAAGAUUAUGUUAGGUUAGUAACUAGGCAACUAACCUAACAUGACCAAACUCCUAAAUUCCACUUUUAUGUAUCGAAAUACUCAAUGUAAAUAUUCUGCUUUCAAAGAUGAUAUUAAAACUAAAGAUUGUAAUUUUAAAAAAAGGUGUGUACGUGGAUGUCGCUCUGAUGUACAAUAUGUUACAAGUCCGAUACAGUAUAAUGGAUGAUAUACAAUUUGAAUUCAAUGAUAUAAUAAUAUCAUUGUACACGAAAAACGAUUCUGAGCGGUGACGGCUUGUCAGUGUUGAUAUUUUAUUUUAUAUUUAUAUUGUUAUUAGUUAUUACUCAUUCUUAAUACGGUAGCCAGUAAGUUGAAUUAAAAUUAUAAAAUUACAACAAAAUUCGCUAAAUAAGAAAUCAAAUGAAUAUCCAAUGUUGUAAAAAUGUUGCCUCCUUAUCUCUAGUCUUCGUGAUUAUAAACACGAAAUUAUAUUAUACAUAAUAUUAUACAAUAUAGUAAAUGAUAAUAUUCAUAAUUCAUAUUAUCAAACUUCGUAGGUAAAGAAUUUUUUCUCAAAUAAAACCAUCAACAAGUUAAAAAUUAUUAACGAAAUAUGUGCUAUUGGCGAGUCACGAAGUAUACUUUUGAGUAUUAUUUACUUGAAUAUUUACUUCAAAAACUGCCACUGUUAUGUAAUAUAUAAUAUGUAUACUCGAUAAAGAGUCGAAAAUAAUACUUCGUACUUCAACUACGAAUGUUCUGGUAGAAAAUUGAAUCUAGUUUCUAUAAGCUAUCCAUCGCCAAUAGGCUGUAAUAAUCAAAGACCGUGGGCUAUAAUAAUUAUUGGCUAUUGUAUAGGCUUACAAUGGUUUUCUUUUUUUUUGUUGGCAACCACCAAUCAAACGCUGUUGACUUUCCGACAACAACAAUUAUUAUAAAAUAUAAUAUAGUGAUACUAUUAUCAUCUCGUCCGUGUUAUCACCGUCGUUUUUAUUAUUGAUUUUCUCUACGUCAUUCACCGUUCGCUGUCGGCAUCUCGGCGACGAUACUACGAUCAUACUAGGUAAAAAUAAUUAAUAAUAAUAUUAUAAUUAUAAUAAUAAACUGCUACUAACUGUGUGGUGCUGAAGGCGACCGGCAAUGUUUAUCCUUUACGAGUUGUACCACGAUCGCUUACUUGCCAGGCUGAUCAUCCUAUCUCAACUGCUUAUGCUCGUGGUUUUCGUUGACUUUUACGUGACUCACCGCAGUCAAAACUUCACAAGUCGUUUAACAAGAGAUCCAACCACAUCGCAGGUUAAACGCCACACCGCCGUGGAUGCGACGCCGACAACGUCUUCCGAGUUACCCGCAGGACGAUGCUAAAGUGUUGAUCCGCAAGUCGACUAUGAACAUGAAAGUUUCCACUACGAGGUGUUGCUAACACAAAGGAAUCAUUUAUCAAAAGUUUUGGUGGUUGUGGAUCAAAAACAAUAUUACUAUAGUAUUACAGAAAUUAUUUACUAACGAAUUUGCUGUAAUAACUACAUGGACUGGUCGUGCGAAAAACAUAUCUAUUUCCAUAGGCACUUCAGAAGUUGUCAAACUAUUAAGAAGAAUCAUUAAAGCUAAUUCAAAUAAUACCUAAACUGAUUCAGAGUUUGAAAUUGUGGUGGCUAAUUGGCUAAGACAUGCCAAUACUCGUAUGAAUAGAUCAAAAUAAAUGAGGUUCAAGAAGUAUAUAAAAAAAAGCUAUCUACUGUUGUGUGAUAAAUUGUAUGCAUUGGUCAGUAAAGACUAAAAAGGCAAUAGUAAAUAAAUACCUAAAAAACUGUUAAAAACUAAUUUUAUUAUACUUUAUUUUCUUGAUAUUUACUGUAUAAAAAUUCAAUUUGUGAGUCAAACUAAAUUAGUGAGUUAAGAAGAUUAAUAAUAUUACAUUUCAAAAUUCAAAACUAACUUAUCUAAUUGUAUUUGAAAUUGUACAAAGAUAUUUAACGAAUUCUACAGUUUUUUAUCAUUAAAUUUAAUAACCUUCAUUUGAUACAAUUCAAAUUUUUAUUUUUAUUUUGACUAUCUAUUAAAAAGAAUUUACGUUCAGAGUUUAUGUUGUUAAUAAUGGUUCAUUAUUUUUUAUACUUUGUACAUUUGAGAGGUAACCAGCCAUACCUAUUUAUUUUUAUUUGUUAUAAUUUAUCGAAUUGAAUGAAUUUUCGACAAAAAUAUACAAUAAAUAAAUAAAUUUUUUUUUUAUUUAUUUGAAUAAUUGAUUAUUAGUAUUUCUUUUAUUUAGAUUUAGGCCUGCAAACGUCAACAGUUUAGUCCCGUAUGAUGGAAAUUGGCGACAAAUAUUCAUUGAACAACCCAAUGUACUGACAAUUUAUUGGUCGUUACAUAUGUAAAAUAACUCAUGUACAAAAAUAUAAAGAAUCUUUCAGAGGCGACACUAAUGAAUUUACUAUUGUACCAUUAUCGUCCUUUAAAAUUGGUGUGUACUCCAUUGACACCACUAAAAUGUCUGAAUUGUUUUGUGCAAAUUUAACUAAAAUUAAAUACAAUUUUUUUUUUCGAUGUCAAACAAUUUAGGAAUGAUAUCUUCUUUGAAUCAUGCAAUAAAUUAUGUUAUUUAUAUUUUGUUUUACUUUUUUGUAAAAUCAAGUUGAUUAUACAUUAAAGAAUUAAAAUGUUUAUUUAUUUGUAUUUAUAUUAUGUUAGUACUAAAAUACUUAUAAUUGUUAAAUGUUUUCCAUUAUAAAUUGUUAUUCAUUUCUAAAAAAUUGUUUUUUAAUAGUAUUUAUGAUAAAAAGUUUAAUGUUUUAAAUGAGUUUGUAUGCCUCUUAUG